ACUACCGGCACCCCUCCCGGGGGGUGCGCGGCUCGGGGCGACCCGUGCCGUCUGUAGUCCCUGUCUUUUCGAGUACCUGUUCCGUUUCCUCGGCGGGCCUGCCCGCCAGCGAGGACCCAAACCAAACCCUGAAGUGAGCGGUUACGUCUGAAAACAAACAAAUCUAUCA
rnacentral:misc_RNA from 1 species